rnacentral:lncRNA from 1 species
GCUUGCUGAUUUGCUACGCACUCUCUGUUCACUGCGCGCUAGCCUCUCCGCCUUCACUUGACUCACAAGCUCAUCCCUGUUACGACAAAAUAUUGUGUGAUCAUCACAAUUUUGCUUAUCUGGUCUGCAGUUGUAGAGGAUGAAGUACAAAGUACCAACAUACAGAGGUUCGGUGAACUACGGAUCACCAGAAGUAUUCUCAAAGCAACUUCUCUGGAUCACCUGGUGAUUUCCUUUUUGGUUCUAGCCGACAGAUUGCGCGUGCGACUCCUGUCAAAAUCCAUGCUCACCAGAAUUGUUCACAUCAGGUCCAAGAGCACAUCGGACUACAUUCCGACAUACGUCAUCGCAAUUGAAUAUUUAUGGAUGUCAUUUUGACGCAGGUACAUGCUGAGAUGUUCUUCCUUAAUGCCUGGCACUGCUCCCUAGGAAUCAGUAUAACCUGCUUCCGGUGCAGUCCUCACUGUACGAUGUCUUCUGGCACAUCUUAGUUCAUCUAAGACGUGGAAGAUAAUCUACGUUUUUGCUCAUCCACCCCACAAGGAUCGUAUCGGCACGAAAGAGAUCUGUUUGAGCCAAAGCCCGAGGUUGGGAAG